AUGUUCUUUUCUCUGGUAGCAUCUGUCCUCUCAAAACCCGGCUCCCACCUUCUCAGAAUUAAAAAUUUUGCUAUGGGACAGAUGGUCCACUGGACAGGCUUGUGCAUUGCGGUGGCAUCUCCUGGGCAUGGGCAGGAGCAGAGGGCACAUGCCAGGCACAGCCUGUGUUGCCACGUGCCAGAACACGCUCCCAACCUAAAAUGCAAUGGUUCUAACUGUGCCAGUGUCCUUGCACUUGGAUCUGCUUCAUGCACGGACUGGUCGUGUGGAUUUGCUUGGAAAAGUCAACUGACACUUUUCAAAGGCCAGGAAGCCGCCUCCUGGCCAUCCCACACCAGCCCACCCUGUCUCAGGUGUACUGUGGACCACUGCUGGAGCGGAGCUGAAGGGAUCUCGUACUUCUGGGAUGGGGCUUGGUCCGGUGCUGCUGCAGCCGGUAGCCUGGGAGCUGUGGGGCUGUUGUCAGCUGCACGUCCUGGGUCCGGCCAGCCGUGGGGCUGCAUCCCUCGUUCUGCGGGGCGCGCACACGGAUCCCUCCCGCGGGUAGCUGGAGCUGGCUGGAGAGCCGCAGUUGGCUCUGAAACGCAGAGAGCCCUGAGGACGGCCGUGGCUGCUGGCGCGCAGCUCCAGCCCGAGGCUCUCCCGUGCCCGCCCAAACCGCACACGAGGCGUCUGCAGACAGGCGCGCGGAGCCCGCCGGCGGGGAGGCGGCAGCGCGCGGGCACCGGGCACCGGGCAGGGGCGGCCGCUCCCUCUCCCUGCCGGCAGGAGGCGCCGCUCGGCCGCGGGAGCGCCGGGGCCGGGCUGGGCCGGGCCGGGCUGUGCGGGGCUGGGCUGUGCGGGGCCGGGCUGGGCUGUGCGGGGCUGGGCCGGGCCGGGCUGGGCUGUGCGGGGCCGGGCCGGGCUGUGCGGGGCUGGGCUGUGCGGGGCCGGGCUGUGCGGGGCUGGGCUGUGCGGGGCCGGGCUGUGCGGGGCUGUGCGGCCGGACGGUGCCGGCUCCGCUCCCGCCCGGUCACGGCCCUGCAGCAUCAUCUGUCCGCAGCAACGGGCAGAGGGCGGGAGCGCCUCUGCUGUGAGAAAAGGCAGCGAGAGCUGGGACUGCUCAGCCGGGAGGAGGGGGCACCUCAGAGCACCUUUCCAGUACCUAAAGGUCUCUGGGUAAGCUGGAGAGGAACAUUUCACCAGGGCUUGUGGUGA
rnacentral:lncRNA from 1 species